GACGAACGCUGGCGGCGUGCUUAACACAUGCAAGUCGAACGAUGAAGCCGGAGCUUGCUCUGGUGAAUUAGUGGCGAACGGGUGAGUAACACGUGAGUAACCUGCCCUUGACUCUGGGAUAACUGCGGGAAACUGUAGCUAAUACCGGAUACGACCCUCGGAGACAUCUCCUGGGGGUGGAAAGAAUUUCGGUCAAGGAUGGACUCGCGGCCUAUCAGCUAGUUGGUGAGGUAAAGGCUCACCAAGGCGACGACGGGUAGCCGGCCUGAGAGGGUGACCGGCCAGCCUGGGACUGGGACACGGCCCAGACUCCUACGGGAGGCAGCAGUGGGGAAUAUUGGACAAGGGGCGCAAGCCUGAUGCAGCAACGCCGCGUGAGGGAUGACGGCCUUCGGGUUGUAAACCUCUUUUAGCAGGGAAGAAGCGAAAGUGACGGUACCUGCAGAAAAAGCACCGGCUAACUACGUGCCAGCCGCCGCCGUAA
rnacentral:rRNA from 1 species